AUGGACAUUUAUGUGCUCCCGUCAAGGAAACUUGAUGAUGGGCAUCCCUUUGGUUUGAUUGUUGGGGUGAAUAAUCGCAAGAAAACCAUGGUCUUUGGUGCUACACUUCUCUAUGAUGAAAAUGCUGAAAGUUUUGGUUGGCUUUUUAGAACAUUUCUAACAGCUAUGUCUGGGAAACAUCCAAGGACUAUUCUGACUGAUGAAGAUGCAGCAAUGGCCAAGGCAAUCAGUAAAGUCCUUCCUCAGUCUCACCAUAGACUUUGUGUGUGGCAUAUGAAUCAAAAUGCUUGCAAGCACCUUGCUAGGGUUGUUGAAGAAUAUAAGAAGUUCAAUGCUGAUUUCCAGCAUUGUAUCUAUGAUAUUGAGGAAGAAGAUGAUUUUAUAAAUGAAUGGAAUAGAAUGCUAGACAGGUAUGGACUCUGUGACAAUAUGUGGCUGCAAAGGCUGUUUGAGAAAAGGGAGCAAUGGGCACUAGUGUAUGGCAGAAAUACAUUCUCAACCCACAUGAGCACUACCCAAAGAAGUGAAAGCAUGAAUAAUGAACUAAAGUGGUACAUUAGUAUUAAAUAUGACAUGCUUACUUUUUUUGAGCAUUUUGAGCGUCUAGUUGCGGAUAAAAGAUUUGUAGAGGUGAAGUGUGACUUCAAGGCGUCAGAAACUACUCCCAAGCUGAAGGCAAAAGGUAGCUAUGUGUUAAGGCAAGCCGCAACUACAUAUACUCCUGCAAUAUUCAAGAUGUUUCAGGAGCAAGUGCUUCGGACCCUGAACUAUGAAACAUUUCUUUGUGAUUCAAGUGAUAAAGAGAAGAAGAUACUUGGUAUUAAUAAUAUCAAGCAUAUCCCUGAACAAUAUAUACUGAAAAGAUGGACAAUUGAUGCGAAAGUGCUAGAGAUAACAAGCAAUCGCAAUAUGCAUGAAGAUCUAAAAGCAAGAAUGUCGAACUUUUACAAGGACUUGUGCAGAAUGUUUAUCCACAUAGCUGCUCGCGCCGCAGAGUCCGAUGAAACAUGUGAUAUGGCUGCUAAAUGUGCAGAGCAGCUAGCACGAGAUGUGGAGCAAAGCUUGAUAAUUAGAGUUGAUCCAGACCCAAAUCCAGAUUUGGGUGACUCCUCUCUUUCGCAAGGUCUGAACAUCGACUCUACUAGAGUUUCAAAGCAUAACGAGGGGCUUCACAUGCCAAGAGGUAUGAAGGUCAAGGAGAAGACUGUACGAGGAUCAGCAAGACCCGUUGGUGGCUUGGAGAAAGCAGCAACAACAAAGAAAAAGAAGAUAGAUGAUUCUUUACAACUACAACCUGAAAUGCCGUUCACAAAUAAAAUGCCUAUGUAUAAACCAAUCUUAAUGGAUCAAUUCAGAGAAAAUAUUGUACCAAGAUCAGCAAGACCUAUUGGUGGCUUGGAGAAAGCAAAAACAAAGAAGAAAAAGAAGACAGUCAAUUCUUUACAAGAACGACCUGAAAUGCCUUUGACAGACCAAAUGCCUGGGUAUUUACCACAGUACAAUCCAACCCAAAUGACUCCUACCAGUGGUACUUCUACCCCUAUGAUAAUGGCAGGACAGAAUCUACCAUUCUUCCAACAACAGAAUCCUACCAUUGGUACCUGUAGCCCCACGAUGAUGCCAGGGCAGAAUCUAUCAAUCUUUCAACAGCAGACUCCUACCAGUAGUACUUCUACCCCUAUGAUGAUGCCCGGACAGAAUCUAUCAGUUCUCCAGCAACAAAAUCCUACAGUUGGUACCUCUACCCCGACGAUGAUCCCAAGACAAAAUCUACCAGUCUCCCAACAACAAAAGCCAGCUUAA
rnacentral:rRNA from 1 species